AGGGCAGAGUCAACUGGAAUUUUUUUGAAGAUGAAAGGACAUGCGGUCACACCUGCAGUCAGCUGUGUAAAAUAGCCGAGACACUCUGGGACCAGGUCUGAAAUCUGCCCUCUGGCUCUGCUUUGGUCCGGAUCAAUCAGCGCUGUUUCACUGCUCAGGGAGGCAGUCAGACAGACAGGGUAUAUAGAUGAAAGUCCCUCCCCCCAAGGAACUCAGUGUCUUGAGAAAAAACAGCAGGACUGAGCUUUGCUAAACACAGCACUGACAUUUUUCAGAAUACUUUAUUCAUAAUCAUUGCCUAUCACAAUAAUGAAUCCUGGGGUCACUUCCAAAAACAAUUUAAAGUACGAAAUAUCUGUUCUGAAUUGGAGAUGCAUGUAGACAAACAAGUGACGCCCUUGGCACAGGUAACAAUGAAACAUUGUUUUGCUGUUGUUGUCAUCAUAAAUUGAAAAUGACCUGCUGUCAGAACUGACAUUGACAGAUUUACGUUUGUAACAAUAAAAUACACACUGUGUUCUCAUUGUACAAACGACAGAAACUGUUCAGAUCAAGAAAUCUUGAAUUUUCCAAAAAUGAAUUUUUUGCUGCUUAUCGUGCUGCUUCAAUGAACGGUUGAUGAAGCAGUUACAGAACAUACUUUUCUUGUGUCUCCUUGUAUGUAUAAUGGAUCAACUGUAUACACAGCAUAAAGAUACAUAUAUAUACUA